CGUGGAAUCUAUAGGUCUACUUCCUCAUUCUUUACCUCUGCCUUCCUCUUAGCUUGAGCUGAGUUGGGUGAGAAGACGUAGAGAGCAGCAAGCUUUUUGUUUCGCUCGAUCAUCGGCUGGAAACGUUUCAAAAAGUUUGUCUUCAGACCCAUUUUUAUUCCGGCAGUUUUUGUUCGAUUACUGUACGGUCAGUCACACCACAUCAAGAUCAUGGACUGGUUGAGGCCAAUUCUGGAUGGAAUUCGGGCUAUCUAUAACUGGAUUCCAGGUGACUCUAAUUACAUCCAGGCUAUCUAUACAUGGAUUUCAGGGUCAGCAACACCAAGAACAAAUGUUGAUAGUGGCGGUGUUGUUACCAACAGAAAGAUUGACAAUGUUAAAGCAAAAAACUUCACCGCCAGGACUGAAACAGUGAGUGCUCCAGGAAAUCCUUCAUGUGGAGAUGCUGGACAGAAUUCUGGAGCAGUUUUUGAUGCACGUGGUGGCGGUGCAAUCUGUGUUGACCAAAUAACUAACAGCACUUUUGAUGGUGAUGUAGAUUUUUCAACGAUUGUGAAACCAGCACAAGGACAGUAGACAAGACACUGGCAUCCGCUCAGUUCAGAGUUUUGCUGAAGAGUUGGACUAACCCAAUUGUGGUGGAAGGGGGAUCCCCAAGGCCCAGCGUGUAUCCUGCAUCACUUGUUCUCUACUUAUACCAGCCAUCACAAAAUUCUUGUCUCUGAUCAACAGGAACUGUCUUCACUUUCCAUUUCUUUCAUACUUCAGUGAAUUUACUUGAUAGAUCAUUAGUCAGUUGUAUAGCCAUGUACGUACAUGUUCUGCCUGUGCUGCUGUGUAUUUGGUGACUUGUGUGAGUUUCUAAGAUAUAUGAAAGUGUUUAAGCCACAAAUCGUUGAAUCAACCCCUUUAGGCUAAUAUAAGAUGUAGAAAAAAGUGCAAGAGAGAACUGACGAUAGUCGUGGCAUUAUGUUUUUGAGUUGUCCGUCCAUUCACCUGUUUUGUAAAUGUGAUUUCGUCAAGAAUACACUGGGACAAAUAUCCUCCUGGAAUCAGUGAUGAACCAACUGAAAUUUAGUGGCUUAAUGUCACUGUGACCUUGAUCUGUGUCACUCUUGUGGACUGGAUGUUUCAGAAGGCAUUAAAGGGAGUUUCCAUAAAUUUGGAAGAAAAAAACAUACAAAAACAUUCCACUUAGACUCAAAAAUGAACUAAUUAGAAUUUGGUGAACAAAGGUCACUGUGACUUCAUAAAACAUGUUCUUGGCCAUAACCCAUGAAUUUAUAGUCACAUUAUGACAAACUUUCACACAAAUGUCAAUUAGAAAUUAAUAAUGAAGUGAUGAUAUUUUAAAUCCAAAAUGUCAAAAAUAAGCUUCAGUGUGAUAUCACAAUGUUCUUCAAAAACACUUUUUUGGCCAUUACUUAACGUUAACAAGGGAAGGAGGACAUUGGUGACACUGUCCAUCAUGAAACUGCAGUGAUUGUAUAGGUCUUCUACGCUGCCUGGUAGAAGACGUGUGAAGCAUCCACGUUUUAGAAUUUGUAGCUUCUUUGCAGCAGCAUCCAUGUUUGAAGAAUUGUCUACUGUCAUGGCUACAUAUGAUUAGAUGCAAACAUGGAUGUUAGCUGCAACUGGUGUUUAGCAGAGGCAUGCAAAAGCAAAGCAUGCAGUAUAUCCAAGUUUCUUUUUGGAUACUCUUGUUGUACUCUUUCAUUCACUUUCAGAUCUCUAUGUUUUUUUGACACAGUUCCUCCUCUUUAAAGUAGAACUUAGUUUUCUUUUCUGUUUUUGAUUGCUUUGAUUAAUCUCAAUGGCAGUUUAGCUUUGCUUUAAAAAAUCGCUGUUUAAAAAAACAUUUGUAAUUGUUUAUCAUCACUACUAAAUAAAAACAAGUAGACUGUUGUGGUCUAUUGAAAGACA